CCUACGGGGGGCAGCAGUGGGGAAUAUUGCACAAUGGGGGAAACCCUGAUGCAGCGACGCCGCGUGAGCGAUGAAGUAUUUCGGUAUGUAAAGCUCUAUCAGCAGGGAAGAAAAUGACGGUACCUGACUAAGAAGCCCCGGCUAACUACGUGCCAGCAGCCGCGGUAAUACGUAGGGGGCAAGCGUUAUCCGGAUUUACUGGGUGUAAAGGGAGCGUAGACGGUCCUGCAAGCCAGAUGUGAAAGCCCGGGGCGUAACCCCGGAACUGCAUUUGAAACUGUAAGGCUAGAGUGUAGGAGAGGCAGGCGGAAGUCCUAGUGUAGCGGUGAAAUGCGUAGAUAUUAGGAGGAACACCAGUGGCGAAGGCGGCCUGCUGGACGAUGACUGACGUUGAGGCUCGAAAGCGUGGGGAGCAAACAGGAUUAGAUACCCGGGUAGUC
rnacentral:rRNA from 1 species